rnacentral:rRNA from 1 species
GAUGAACGCUGGCGGCGUGCUUAACACAUGCAAGUCGAACGAAGCAUUUAAGACAGAUUACUUCGGUUUGAAGUCUUUUAUGACUGAGUGGCGGACGGGUGAGUAACGCGUGGGUAACCUGCCUCAUACAGGGGGAUAGCAGCUGGAAACGGCUGGUAAUACCGCAUAAGCGCACAGUACCACAUGGUACAGUGUGAAAAACUCCGGUGGUAUGAGAUGGACCCGCGUCGGAUUAGCUUGUUGGCGGGGUAACGGCCCACCAAGGCGACGAUCAGUAGCCGACCUGAGAGGGUGACCGGCCACAUUGGGACUGAGACACGGCCCAGACUCCUACGGGAGGCAGCAGUGGGGAAUAUUGCACAAUGGAGGAAACUCUGAUGCAGCGACGCCGCGUGAGUGAAGAAGUAGUUCGCUAUGUAAAGCUCUAUCAGCAGGGAAGAUAGUGACGGUACCUGACUAAGAAGCUCCGGCUAAAUACGUG